AUGGAGGCCAUGACGUCAUUCUGAAGUGAGAAGGUGUAUAGAAAAAAUAAAAGAGAAAGCAAGCCUGUGGAAUAAUUAUAUAAAAGAGGGAGGUGAAUCAGGAAAUAGCUCUCGGUUUGGGAAACACAUCGAGCGAGAGGGAGCUUUGCCACAAUUUAAAUUAAAACAGGGUUUGAGAAAAAGCAGGGAGGAAAUAAUGUGAAAUGGAAAGGCGAAAGAACAGCGGCAGGGCAGAUCUGGAUGUAAUACAGGGGAAGAGUAUUAAUCACCAUUACCAGGAAAAUAUCCACCCAAUAACACCAGAGAAGAACGUAGAGGAAGAGGGGAGCAACACUUUUCCACUGAUCAGAUCUGUGUAGAGAAGAUAUGCUUUUCCAGUUAGUUUUAAUAAACAAUCACAGUAGA